rnacentral:rRNA from 1 species
UACGUAGGUGGCAAGCGUUGUCCGGAUUUAUUGGGCGUAAAGAGCGUGUAGGCGGCCGCACAGGUCCGUUGUGAAAACUGGAGGCUUAACCUUCAGACGUCGAUGGAAACCGUGCGGCUAGAGUCCGGAAGAGGAGAAUGGAAUUCCUGGUGUAGCGGUGAAAUGCGCAGAUAUCAGGAGGAACACCGGUGGCGAAGGCGGGUCUCUGGGCCGAUACUGACGCUGAGGAGCGAAAGCGUGGGGAGCGAACAGG